rnacentral:rRNA from 1 species
GACGAACGCUGGCGCGUGCUUACACAUGCAAGUCGAACGGAAAGGCCCUGCUUGCAGGGUACUCGAGUGCGAACGGGUGAGUAACACGUGGGUGAUCUGCCCUGCACUUCGGGAUAAGCCUGGGAAACUGAGUCUAAUACCGGAUAGGAGCCAUUUUUAGUGUGAUGGUUGGAAAGUUUUUUUCGGUGUAGGAUGAGCUCGCGGCCUAUCAGCUUGUUGGUGGGGUAAUGGCCUACCAAGGCGGCGACGGGUAGCCAGCCUGAGAGGGUGGACGGCCACAUUGGGACUGAGAUACGGCCCAGACUCCUACGGGAGGCAGCAGUGGGGAAUAUUGCACAAUGGGCGCAAGCCUGAUGCAGCGACGCCGCGUGGGGGAUGACGGGCUUCGGGUUGUAAACUCCUUUCGCUAGGGACGAAGCUUUUUGUGACGGUACCUAGAUAAGAAGCACCGGCUAACUACGUGCCAGCAGCCGCGGUAAUACGUAGGGUGCGAGCGUUGUCCGGAAUUACUGGGCGUAAAGGGCUCGUAGGUGGUUUGUCGCGUCGUCUGUGAAAUUCCGGGGCUUAACUCCGGGCGUGCAGGCGAUACGGGCAUAACUUGAGUACUGUAGGGGUAACUGGAAUUCCUGGUGUAGCGGUGAAAUGCGCAGAUAUCAGGAGGAACACCGAUGGCGAAGGCAGUUACUGGGCAGUACUGACGCUGAGGAGCGAAAGCAUGGGUAGCGAACAGG